rnacentral:rRNA from 1 species
GCAGCCGCGGUAAUACGGAGGGGGCAAGCGUUGUUCGGAAUUAUUGGGCGUAAAGGGCAUGUAGGCGGUUCGGUAAGUUAAAGGUGAAAUGCCAGGGCUUAACCCUGGAGCUGCUUUUAAUACUGCCAGACUAGAGACCGGGAGAGGAUAGCGGAAUUCCUAGUGUAGAGGUGAAAUUCGUAGAUAUUAGGAGGAACACCAGUGGCGAAGGCGGCUAUCUGGUCCGGUACUGACGCUGAGGUGCGAAAGCGUGGGGAGCAAACAGGAUUAGA